UCUUGCCACUCGAAAAAUUGUUUUUAAAAGAUGCUUUCAAAAGCGUAACUUUCCCCCACAAUAACUGUUAGGAUUUUUGAUGGAAAGAAUGCUAUUAUUUUCAAGCUUACAAUAAGAGAGAAUCUUUUAGAGUUUAUAUCUUAUUGAUUUUAGCAAAAAUAAAAACAAAAACAAAGCAGUACCCCAGGUAUAAGGGGACUGUCAGCUCCCAGCCAUUAUGACCCAUCUCCAAGCGCCACUGUAUGACUGGACAUUUAUCUCUUCAUUCUUUUACAACAAACCAGUGUGUAUUUAAUAGUUUUAUUAGCAUCUUAGAGAAAACUAUAUAUAUAUAUGCAGCAUAUUUGAUUUGAAUAAUUAUGCAAAUUAAAAUAGAAUUAAUUUUUAAUUCUUUUUACUAUCUAGUUCUAAAAAUGUACACUAAAAAAGAUAAAAUGAAAAGUACAGUGGACAUUUUAUGCAGCACCUGCUUAAUAUAAGAUUUUAAAAUGUGUUAAUGAAACUAAUAGGAUAAAAAAAAAUUCAUGAAAAGAUACUAGACUGUGGUUAUAAAACCUAUACCUGACAGUCCCUUCUUUGGCCAAGCCAUUAUAGUAGGAGAUGCAGUCAUCUGAAACCUACUACAACUCAGAUAAUUGCCAAGUUGUUAUUAGGUCAGCUUAUCUUUUUUUCUUUUUCUCUUUUCUCUCUUUUUUUUUUCUUUUUUCUUUUUUCUUUUUGUCACUCCUGUGGCAUAUGGAAGCUCCUGGGCCAGGGAUCAAAUCCGAGCCACAGCUGCAACCUAUGCCACAGCUGUGGCAACGCCAGAUCCUUUACCAACUGCUCCUGGCUUGGUACUGAAUUUGUGCCUCAGCAGUGACCCAAGCCGCUGUAGUCGGAUUCUUAACUCGCUGUACCACAGCAAGAAUGCCAAAGUCAGCUUGUCUUUUCUUAAAAAACUGCUCCAGAAGAUUUUCCUUGUUAACCUCAGCAUCACAUAAUGUUGGCUUGUUUUAAACUUUGCUGCAACUCUUGAAGGAAGUCUUCUAAAGAGUUCAUUUAUUUGUGGCAGACAGGCCUUGAAAUGUUUUUUCUUAAGCUCUUCCUGAUGUCUAGAAAUAGAAUUAUUCCAAAAUUAGACUUUGUAUACAUUUUAAACAGGCUUUGAUUUUUUUUUUUUAUAAUGCAUUGAUGAUUAAGGAUUUUGGUUCCCUUUCUUCCAUCAAAUUGAGAGCUCUAUAAUCAGCUGAAAAGUUGAAUUAAUGAAGAAAUUUUGAUCAGAUGUAUUGAAGACUUAUGACCGGCUCUCACAGGGCCAAUGCUGUCUUCUGCUGAAGACCCUGGACAUACCUGUUCAUUGUAGUGUAUCUGGGCCUCUUCUUGGAAUGGAACUACCCAAUCUCUUUUUGGUCAAGGGCUAUUUUGUAAGUUCAAAUAGAGUUAUAUAAAAUAAUGUGGAAAAAACCCAAAGUAUUGUUAUGAUAAUCAAGUGGAAGUUUAGUUAAGUGUAUACUAAAUGCUUUGAGAUUUUGAAAGCCUCAUGCUCAAAGGGGAAUACUGGGAGUAGCCAUAAAGACACACCUGGAAGCUUGCUAGAAACUCAGAACUGAGGCUCCACUGCAGACUACUGAACUGGAUUUGCAUUUUAAUAAGAUUCCUAAGGCAAUUAAUAUGCACAUUAAAUGUUAAGAAGCACUGAAAAGCAACCCUGAGAAGUGUAUAUGGUGAUCCCAGUUCUUCAGAUAAGGAAUCUAGGCUCAGAGAGGCGAAAUUGUAUAACUUGAGAACCUAAGCUCAAGUCUGUUCGAAGCUCACUUUCACACAUUUCUACCACACUUCCUUGCUUUCAGUGCACUGUAGCCAGUUUUUAAAGACAAGUGCAAAAUCGUUGUCCAUUUUUUAUACUAUUUUUUUUUACUAACUUUUGACUUAUUCUGGCAAUAUUCUCCAAAAGGACCUGCACUUACACAAAUUCUGAUGACAGUGAAGCCAUGCAUUGCUGAAGGAGACCAAGUUUGGUGGGAAGAUCAAUAGCAUGGAUUUUUGUGGCUUUGCACAGUUCUAUUUUUGAGUGCUUGGAGGAUCUUAUUUAUUAGAGUGUGUUUGCAGAAACUGUCAGUAAACAUCUUUUCUUUGUUAAUAUUUAACCCACCAACUCUUUCAUGCUUCCAUCUUUUCCAGUCCCACAGUCCCACAUGCUUUUUAAUCCACUAAUAGCACCAAACUGUCUCCAUGGUGCAAUAAAAGUCUUUUAUUUUAUGACUUCCUUGAAUUACUACCCUAACUUAUAAUUUGCCAGAUUUGUUUUUGCCUUCAAAUCCCUUACUUCACUGUAGCCACAUGAAAAAUGUUGCACCCUAUGCAUUUUCCUCCCCAAACUCUAAUGUUUAUUUUUAAUAUACUAAUAGUUCUUGCCCAGAAUAAUUUAGUCUUGCUGACAUUUGGAAUGUUUUAUUCAUUCAAAAGAACUUUUAGCAAGUUUUUCUAUAAAAUAUUAGGAAAUAUUUGAAGUAGUUCUAAUGAUUGUUGAAAUCUAGUAAACUUUAAUUACAUUACAAAAUUGACAACCCUCGAAGAAUUUAGGAAAACUACAAAAAAAAUUAAAUUGGCUAUUUAAAUGUUUUCUAAACUUGCUUUUUAAUGCUAAGGUAUUUUCAGAGGAAACAUAGGCUGAGUUUUCUGAAAUCAAGAGAGCUGCUUUUUGAGUGACAGUCGUAAAUACCUUGAUCUUAUCUGAAAAGAGUGAGAGAGUGUGAUUUGAGUUGAAGGUAAUUUUAUUUUCAUUGUAUUUAUUUAAGAGCCAGAAGGUGGGGAAGGGUUUAGUUUAUAGCUUCCUGUCCUAAGGAAGGGGAGAUAAAGUAAUGAAUAUGAGAUGUAUCUAAUCAUCAGUCCUCUUUCUUUUAUCAUAGUUCCAAGGAUUAGCACUAGCUGUCUGUGUCUGUGCAUGCAUACCUGUGCGUGCAUCUGUGUGCAUGUGUGUGUGUGUAUAGAAAAAGACUAAGCAGAAGGAAAGAACAGUACAGAAAUGACAGUGGUGAAUAUCCCUUCCACUCUCACAUUCACCUUAGAAACUGUCAUUUAUAAGAUACAUGUCAUUUAUAUGAUAGAGGCUCUUCCCAGGGGGUCAAUGUCUAGGAGGUCUAGGUCUCUAACUCAGAAUCUGCCCCCUACUUGUACAAUUUCCUUGUCUUGAGUCUUCAACAAUGCAGGCUCUCCCAAUUGAAAGAGAAUAGCUUGUCACAUUCUCAGCAGGGAGUGAGUUAGUUUCAAGCUGUGUAUCUCUCAGCCUGGAACUUUUUUGCUCAGGAUGCCAGGGAACUAUGGCAAGUUGCACACAGCUAAACCAAGACCAAAUGCUUUCUAGAAUUCCAGCUAAGAAGAUUCAGAACAUGUAAGGGAGGGUCAGUUACUCUUCAGCACAUGCCAAGCAUCUGAGUUAGACUAUUGAACAACAACAAAAAAAGUGCAGAUUGAAUUACUGGGGAAAAUGUGUUUGUGGCCACAUAGCUAGAUAUACUAAUUAGGAAAUACAGAGGAAAGUUAUAUUUUUUCUAACCCAUUUUACUCCUGAAAUAGUCAAGAAGGACAUGAAACGUUGACUUGGGAAAUUCAUUCUGGCUAAUAGUCACUGAUAUAAUUUCAAUAGAAACAUAUUUUAUAGUUGGUUUUACUAAGUUAAUUACUGAUCUCUGCAGCUUAUAUAGUUCCUAACAUGUAGCAAGCCCUCAGGAAAUAUUUAAAUAUUUUAUUGUAAGUAAGAGCAAUAAUCAUUACUAUUAGCAUCACUGUAGAAUCUGUCACCAUAAAAUUUAUCCUAAUUAUUAAGGAAAAUAUUGCUGUUGUCUUUUAACCAAUUUUCUAUCUCUUAUGCAUAAUAAAACAAAACCCUUAGUUGAAAAAUAUAGUAUAUUUGUAAUGGAAAAAGUUAUAAUGCAUGAAGAUCUUACUCUUAUAACAUUUGUGAUUUCUCUAACUUACUUUUUUGAAUUUAGCAUUCUAGUAUUUAUUCUUUCUGGAAAAAUACAGGUGUAAAAUAAAAUCUAGACUUUUCUUGCCACUUAAUGUUAUUAAUUUGUAUUAGAACAGCCUUCCCAUUGAAGAAUGUAGAAAAUCUCUUUGAAGGAGAUGUUAUGAGGCAUCAAGACUUGAGGGAGAAGUCUUAUAAUUGAAUCACUCUGAUGUACACCUGAAACCAACACAAUGUUGUAGAUCAACUAUAUGUCAAUCGAAACAAAGUAAGACUUGAGGGGACGAGAUGGUAGCAAGAAGAAAAGAACAGAGAGAUGAUUUUCACAUUCAGCUCUGCUUUUUACCUUUGAGGUAUUUGCUGAUUGGUAGGUAAUGUCAAGCAGGCUGAAAAGCUGAACUGAACUUUCAGCAUUUUCAGAGCACUGGUGGAGAAAAAAAGUCACUGGAUUUCAAGGCCCACCGAGGCUUUAGUAGAGGCCUGUGAAGGGUGAUACCUUAGGUAUGAAAGAAAAACUGAAAUAGGUAUGUCUUCACUUUGAAAUUGCUUCAAAAAGCAUAUCCCCAGAUUAAAUUAAAGUCAUCUGUCUGCCAGAAGCAAAAGUCAGUCCUCUUGGAGAUAGAUCAUACCACCCAGAUUCUUAAAUAAUCUCUAUGAUUUUUGAUUUUGAUACGAAAUAUGCUGCAG
rnacentral:lncRNA from 1 species